UGGGGAAUAUUGCACAAUGGGCGCAAGCCUGAUGCAGCAACGCCGCGUGAGGGAUGACGGCCUUCGGGUUGUAAACCUCUUUUAGUAGGGAAGAAGCGAAAGUGACGGUACCUGCAGAAAAACGCACCGGCUAACUACGUGCCAGCAGCCGCGGUAAUACGUAGGGUGCGAGCGUUGUCCGGAAUUAUUGGGCGUAAAGAGCUCGUAGGCGGUCUGUCGCGUCUGCUGUGAAAAUCCCGAGGCUCAACCUCGGGCCUGCAGUGGGUACGGGCAGACUAGAGUGCGGUAGGGGAGAAUGGAAUUCCUGGUGUAGCGGUGGAAUGCGCAGAUAUCAGGAGGAACACCGAUGGCGAAGGCAGUUCUCUGGGCCGUAACUGACGCUGAGGAGCGAAAGCGUGGGGAGCGAACAGGAUUAGAUACCCUGGUAGUCCACGCCGUAAACGUUGGGCGCUAGAUGUGGGGCACCAUUCCACGGUUUCCGUGUCGCAGCUAACGCAUUAAGCGCCCCGCCUGGGGCAGUACGGCCGCAAGGCUAAAA
rnacentral:rRNA from 1 species